AUUGAACGCUGGCGGCAGGCCUAACACAUGCAAGUCGAGCGGUAGAGAGAAGCUUGCUUCUCUUGAGAGCGGCGGACGGGUGAGUAAUGCCUAGGAAUCUGCCUGGUAGUGGGGGAUAACGUUCGGAAACGGACGCUAAUACCGCAUACGUCCUACGGGAGAAAGCAGGGGACCUUCGGGCCUUGCGCUAUCAGAUGAGCCUAGGUCGGAUUAGCUAGUUGGUGGGGUAAUGGCUCACCAAGGCGACGAUCCGUAACUGGUCUGAGAGGAUGAUCAGUCACACUGGAACUGAGACACGGUCCAGACUCCUACGGGAGGCAGCAGUGGGGAAUAUUGACAAUGGGCGAAAGCCUGAUCCAGCCAUGCCGCGUGUGUGAAGAAGGUCUUCGGAUUGUAAAGCACUUUAAGUUGGGAGGAAGGGCAGUAAAUUAAUUCUUUGCUGUUUUGACGUUACCGACAGAAUAAGCACCGGCUAACUCUGUG
rnacentral:rRNA from 1 species